rnacentral:rRNA from 1 species
AUUGAACGCUGGCGGCAGGCCUAACACAUGCAAGUCGAACGAGUGGCGGACGGGUGCGUAAUGUCUGGGAAACUGCCUGAUGGAGGGGGAUAACUACUGGAAACGGUAGCUAAUACCGCAUACCAUCAGAUGUGCCCAGAUGGGAUUAGCUAGUAGGUGGGGUAACGGCUCACCUAGGCGACGAGCCCUAGCUGGUCUGAGCGGAGGACCAGUCACACGGGACCGGAGACACGGUCCGGAUUCCUACGGGAGGCAGCAGUGGGGAAUAUUGCACAAUGGGCGCAAGCCUGAUGCAGCCAUGCCGCGUGUAUGAAGAAGGCCUUCGGGUUGUAAAGUACUUUCAGCGGGGAGGCGUUACCCGCAGAAGAAGCACCGGCUAACUCCGUGCCAGCAGCCGCGGUAAUUC